GCAACAGCUCAAAUUUGAAAUCUGGCUUCGGCCCGAGUUGUAAUUUGCAGAGGAUGUUUCUGGCGCGGUGCCUUCCGAGUUCCCUGGAACGGGACGCCACAGAGGGUGAGAGCCCCGUAUGGUUGGACACCAAGCCUGUGUGAAACUCCUUCAACGAGUCGAGUAGUUUGGGAAUGCUGCUCUAAAUGGGAGGUAAAUCUCUUCUAAAGCUAAAUACCGGCCAGAGACCGAUAGCGCACAAGUAGAGUGAUCGAAAGAUGAAAAGCACCUUGAAAAGGGGGUUAAAUAGUACGUGAAAUUGUUGAAAGGGAAGCACUUAUGACCAGACUUGGGCCGGGCGGCUCAUCAGGGGUUCUCCCCUGUGCACUCCGCCCGGCACAGGCCAGCAUCGGUUCUCGUGGGGGGAUAAGACCGUCAGGAACGUAGCACCCUCCGGGGUGUGUUAUAGCCUGGCGGACGAUACCCCCGUGGGGACCGAGGUCCGCGCUCCGCAAGGAUGCUGGCGUAAUGGUCAUCAGUGACCCGUCUUGAAACACGGACCAAGGAGUCGUCCAUUAGAGCGAGCGUUUGGGUGUAAAACCCGCACGCGUAAUGAAAGUGAACGCAGGUGAGAGCUUCGGCGCAUCAUCGACCGAUCCUGAUGUUCUCGGAAGGAUUUGAGUAAGAGUUUUAACGGACGGACCCGAAAGACAGUGAACUAUGCUUGUAUAGGGUGAAGCCAGAGGAAACUCUGGUGGAGGCUCGCAGCGGUUCUGACGUGCAAAUCGUAUCGUCAGAGA
rnacentral:rRNA from 1 species